rnacentral:lncRNA from 1 species
AGCCCCAGGAGGACCACACCCAGCUGGCCAGCACUCGGGCCCUGCAGAGCUGCCCGCGUCUCACUCCCUGUGUCCACUGUGGUGCAAGCUGCCCCACUCGUGCCCAGACCUCACCCAGCCAGUCCAUCUGUCUUGGCUUCCCCGCAGCCCACUCCAAACACGGCUGCCACCUGGUUCCACACCUUGGGUUGUGCUGCCCCUGCUCACGGGCCUGCCAGUGGCUCCCGCUCACACGGCGUGGCCGUGCCGGUGUCCUCUGCACGCUGUGACGUGGAGGACUCUGGGGUACACAGAGGUGACACUGGGUGGCCCCCCGGGCCAGGUGGGAAAGCCCCUCCCACGUUCCAAGUAGCCCCAGGAAGACCACACAGACAGCACGUGGAGACAAGACUGCCUGAGGGGACAGCUGGCCCAGCUCCCCGUCCUCGAUGCUGCUGCGUGAGGCAGCCCCGGAACUGCCCGGCUCGCGAGAUGGUGAGCGGGAGCCCUGUGCCAGGCCACCACGUUUUAGGGUGCUCUGCUACUCAGCACGGUCCCCCCGUCCCCACCUUGCUCUCCAAGACGGGCAGGCACGCUGCCCCUCAGGCCUCGGACGCCCGCCGGACUCCGCCCGGUCCGGAGAGCUGCCACAUGGCAUCGCCCCGUCCUCUUGUCACUUCAUUUGAUCCCCCAUCUGGCGGUUCACUGCCCCAGUGCCUGCAACAGCCAGGGCUGGGCCGGCCGGGCCGGAGCCAGGAGCCCCCUCCGCGUCUCCACGUGGGUGCCGGGGGCCCAAACCUCGCCCCCUCCGCCCCACUCCCUCCACCAGACACCACCCCCACUCUCCAAGACCCCGCGUGUGGCGCAGCAGGCGUCCCGUGCGCGUGCUAGCUGGAGUCCUCGCUGCUGUGCUGCGGAUCCAGCGCCUGCCUAACGCAGCCGGGGAGCGCUUGGGUCCCUGCACCCACGUGGCCUGCCUAACGCAGCCGGGGAGCGCUUGGGUCCCUGCACCCACGUGGCCUGCCUAACGCAGCCGGGGAGCGUUUGGGUCCCUGCACCCACGUGGGAAAACCAGGGGGAAGCUCCUGGCCCAGCCCUGGCGGUGCGGCCAACUGCCGAGUGGACCAGCGGACGGAAGCUGCGACCGAAAAAUACAUCUUAAAACAAAAAUGGGGGCCGGCGCCGCGGCUCACUAGGCUAAUCCUCCGCCUGCGGCGCCGGCACACCGGGUUCUAGUCCCGGUCGGGGCGCCGGAUUCUGUCCCGGUUGCCCCUCUUCCAGGCCAGCUCUCUGCUGUGGCCCGGGAGUGCAGUGGAGGAUGGCCCAAGUGCUUGGGCCCUGCACCCCAUGGGAGACCAGGAGAAGCACCUGGCUCCUGGCUUCGGAUCAGCGCGGUGCGCCGGCCGCGGCGGCCAUUGGAGGGUGAACCAACGGCAAAGGAAGACCUUUCUGUCUGUCUCUCACUGUCCAUCUGCCUGUCAAAAUAAAUAAAUAAAUAAAUAAAUAAAUAAAUAAAUA